UGGGGAAUUUUGCACAAUGGGGGAAACCCUGAUGCAGCGACGCCGCGUGAUUCAGAAGGCCUUCGGGUUGUAAAAAUCUUUUCUAUGGGAAGAAAAUGACAGUACCAUAGGAAUAAGGACCGGCUAAUUACGUGCCAGCAGCCGCGGUAAUACGUAAGGUCCGAGCGUUGUCCGGAAUCAUUGGGCGUAAAGGGUACGCAGGCGGGUAAGCAAGUUAGAAGUGAAAUCCUAUAGCUCAACUAUAGUAAGCUUUUAAAACUGCUCAUCUUGAGGUAUGGAAGGGAAAGUGGAAUUCCUAGUGUAGCGGUGAAAUGCGCAGAUAUUAGGAGGAAUACCGGUGGCGAAGGCGACUUUCUGGCCAUAACCUGACGCUGAGGUACGAGAGCGUGGGUAGCAAACGGG
rnacentral:rRNA from 1 species